rnacentral:rRNA from 1 species
CAAUAGCGUAUAUUUAAGUUGUUGCAGUUAAAAGCUCGUAGUCGGAUUUCGGGUCGGGCCGAGCGGUCUGCCGAUGGGUAUGCACUGUUUGGCGCGGCCUUCUUUCCGGAGACCGCGGCUACUCUUAACUGAGCGGGCGUGGGAGACGGAUCGUUACUUUGUAAAAAUCAGAGUGUUUCUAAGCAGGCAGCUCGCUCUUGCAUAGGUUAGCAUGGGAUAAUUUAAUAGGACUCUGGUGCUAUUUUGUUGGUUUCGAACACCGGAGUAAAUGAUUAAAAAGGGCAGUCAGGGGCACUCGUAUUCCGUCGAGAGAGGUGAAAUUCUCAGACCAAUGGAAGACGAACCACUGCGAAAAGCAUUUUGCCAGGGAUGUUUUCACUGAU